CGGAGAUGUAGCCGAUGGGGCGGUUGCCGAUCGGGGCGGCGAGAGUGUUCCACCUCGUGAUCAGGUCGGUCAUGUCCGCCGCCUUGGG
rnacentral:tRNA from 1 species